rnacentral:rRNA from 1 species
CCUACGGGUGGCAGCAGUGGGGAAUAUUGGACAAUGGGGGCAACCCUGAUCCAGCCAUGCCGCGUGUGUGAAGAAGGCCCUCGGGUUGUAAAGCACUUUCAGUGAGGAAGAACGCCUGGUGGUUAAUACCCAUCAGGAAAGACAUCACUCACAGAAGAAGCACCGGCUAACUCCGUGCCAGCAGCCGCGGUAAUACGGAGGGUGCGAGCGUUAGUCGGAAUUACUGGGCGUAAAGCGCGCGUAGGUGGCUUGAUAAGCCGGUUGUGAAAGCCCCGGGCUCAACCUGGGAACGGCAUCCGGAACUGUCAAGCUAGAGUGCAGGAGAGGAAGGUAGAAUUCCCGGUGUAGCGGUGAAAUGCGUAGAGAUCGGGAGGAAUACCAGUGGCGAAGGCGGCCUUCUGGACUGACACUGACACUGAGGUGCGAAAGCGUGGGUAGCAAACAGGAUUAGAUACCCUUGUAGUC